rnacentral:rRNA from 1 species
UACGGAGGAUCCGAGCGUUAUCCGGAUUUAUUGGGUUUAAAGGGUGCGUAGGCGGCCUGUUAAGUCAGGGGUGAAAUUUUCCGGCUCAACCGGGAACUUGCCUUUGAUACUGAUGGGCUUGAAUGCAGCUGAGGUAGGCGGAAUGUGACAAGUAGCGGUGAAAUGCAUAGAUAUGUCACAGAACACCGAUUGCGAAGGCAGCUUACUAAAGUGUGAUUGACGCUGAGGCACGAAAGCGUGGGGAUCAAACAGG